AAAUAAUCAUCAAGAUGCAUUUAUCUUCAUUUGGUGAUCAAUCGUGAUUAAUUAUAUGUUGUGUUUCAAAUAGCCACGGUGCCGGAAUAAAUAUUGGCAUAUUCUAACAAAACCUAAUUCCCUUUUCCUUUGCAGUUUGCGCAUAGAGAAUGCAAAAAAUGGAUAAACUUGCAUCGCAAGACCAUUUGCGAACUUUGUGAACAUCCGUAUGAAGGUGGUUAUAGCAUAUAACAGUGCCUCCACAACGGCGUCCCACAAGGAGAAGGGAAGUGGAAAGUCAAAGCGUGCAGGCGGAGGCAGCCGCAGCAGAGUUAUACAAUGAAUCCAUUUGUUGUGCAAGUGUAGCAUGCCAAAUUGCUUCCAUCAUAAUUACUGGUCUUUACCUUCUUUUCAUUGCGGGUGAACUAUCCGGCUUCCUCGAUCCCUUCCACCCUAGUCGCUCCAAGAGCCCCGGUCACUCAUGAAUGAUCCCAAUCUAGGGUUAGUGGUCGAUCGGACUAAGCAAAUGAUUUAGUUAAUUUCAUUUUCUUAAUUAUGGCCUAUUUAUUUCUAGAUAUAUGACUAAUUAUAUAUUCAACUUCUA